UCUCCGUAGGUGAACCUGCGGAGGGAUCAUUACAGAGUUCAUGCCCUACCGGGUAGAUCUCCCACCCUAUGUUAUUAUUACUUUGUUGCUUUGGCGGGCCGUUAGGCUCCGGCCCGACUACCGGCCCCGGCUGGUAAGCGCCCGCCAGAGGACCCAAAACCCUGAAUAUUAGUGUCGUCUGAGUACUAUAUAAUAGUUAAAACUUUCGACAACGGAUCUCUUGGUUCUGGCACGAUGAAGAACGCAGC
rnacentral:misc_RNA from 1 species